rnacentral:rRNA from 1 species
UACGGAGGGUGCAAGCGUUGUUCGGAAUCAUUGGGCGUAAAGCGCGUGUAGGCGGCUUGGCAAGUCAGUUGUGAAAGCCCGGGGCCCAACCCCGGAAUUGCAUCUGAAACUGCCUGGCUAGAGUCCCGGAGAGGAAGGCAGAAUUCCCGGUGUAGGGGUGAAAUCCGUAGAUAUCGGGAGGAAUACCAGCGGCGAAGGCGGCCUUCUGGACGGUGACUGACGCCGAGACGCGAAAGCGUGGGGAGCAAACAGG